CAGCGCCACGAGUGGCAACCACGUUUAUUGGGCCUAAAGCGUCCGUAGCCGGUUCGGUAAAUCUCUUGUGAAAUCGUCAGGCUCAACCUGACGGCGCGCUUGAGACACUACCAAACUUGAGACCGGGAGGAGUCAGAGGUAUUCCAGGGGGAGCGGUAAAAUGUGAUAAUCCCUGGAGGAUCACCUAUGGCGAAGGCAUCUGACCAGAACGGAUCUGACGGUGAGGGACGAAGGCUAGGGGAGCAAACCGGAUUAGAUACCCGAGUAGUCC
rnacentral:rRNA from 1 species